GCCUAGUUAGCUUAGUUGGUAGUGCGUCUGCCUUGUAAGCGCUAGGCCGCGGGUUCGAUUCCCGACCGGGGCG
rfam:Asian citrus Psyllid, Diaphorina citri - Florida Strain, whole genome shotgun sequence.